GAUGAACGCUGGCGGCGUGCCUAACACAUGCAAGUCGAACGGGAAACCUUUUAUUGCAGCUUCGGCAGAUUUAGCCGGGUCCUAGUGGCGGACGGGUGAGUAACGCGUGGGUAACCUGGCUUAUACAGGGGGAUAACAGUCAGAAAUGGCUGCAAAUACCGCAUAAGCGCACACAGCUGCAUGGCUCAGUGUGAAAAACUCCGGUGGUAUAAGAUGGACCCGCGUUGGAUUAGCUGGUUGGGGGGGUAACGGCCCACCAAGGCGACGAUCCACAGCCGGGCAGAGAGAGAGGGCCGCCACAUUUGGACGAGGAAGCGGCCGGGACUCCUACGGGAGGCAGGAGUGGGGGAUAUUGCACAAUGGGGGGAGCCCUGAUGCAGCGACGCCGCGUGAAGGAAGAAGUAUCUAGAGAUGUAAACUUCUAUCAGCAGGGAAGAUAAUGACGGUACCUAACUAAGAAGCCCCGGCUAACUACGUG
rnacentral:rRNA from 1 species